UACGUAGGGUCCGAGCGUUGUCCGGAAUUAUUGGGCGUAAAGGGCUCGUAGGCGGUUCGUCACGUCGGGAGUGAAAACUCGGAGCUUAACUCCGAGCCUGCUUCCGAUACGGGCAGACUAGAGGUAGGCAGGGGAGAGCGGAACUCCUGGUGUAGCGGUGGAAUGCGCAGAUAUCAGGAGGAACACCGGUGGCGAAGGCGGCUACCUGGACAGAAACUGACGCUGAGGCGCGAAAGCUAGGGGAGCGAACAGG
rnacentral:rRNA from 1 species